rnacentral:rRNA from 1 species
UACGGAGGGCGCAAGCGUUGUCCGGAUUUAUUGGGUUUAAAGGGUGCGUAGGCGGUUCGUUAAGUCCGGGGUGAAAGCCCACUGCUCAACAGUGGAACUGCCCUGGAAACUGGCGAACUUGAGUACAGACGAGGGUGGCGGAAUGGAUGGUGUAGCGGUGAAAUGCAUAGAUACCAUCCAGAACCCCGAUUGCGAAGGCAGCUGCCUAGACUGUAACUGACGCUGAGGCACGAAAGCGUGGGGAGCGAACAGG